AAGGCGAUCCAGGAAGAUUAACCUCGGAGAAAACUGUCCCGCGACACCGAGGGCGGGAGGCAGAUACCGGGGUCAGUGACGGGGACAGCUGAACAUGUUCCCAGAACAGAACCGAAUUUUAAAAAACGAGGCGUAAACCGAUGGGUAGCGUGAAACCGGGAAAGAGGAGUUUAAAGACGACGCAGAAAGGAGUCAACCUACCCAACGCACUUUGCUGCAGUGCCUCGAAAACCUGAGAAGAUCUGACGGGGAAACGCAUAAAUAACGGCGAAACGUCUCCUGGGUCCUCCUGUAGCCGCCAACCCGUCACCACCCACAAAAGAUUCAACAAUAAUUCACUCGUCCUCGGUAUUUACUGCCCUUUGAGUGAUUUGAAUGCAGCAUGAGGCCUACCUGAAACGCCGAAAGCACGGUUCCCGGGACUUAUCUCCGUUGUAACUACACAGCGGCCAUUUCCCGACUCAAGCACGGGAGGAAAACCAUAGAGCUUUCAGAUGAUUACAUCCCUGGUUGUCACCUUGAAUGUAGCCUUUUGAAAGACUCUGAGCCAGAACGACUCAGCUAAGCUGCUCCUGACCCACAGAAACCAGGAGAUAAUGAGCCUUGUGAGGAUUCAAUGAGAAUUGCACAUGAGCAGCUUAAGAGUCUGGCUUGUGGUAAACACAACAUUUAACAUUUUUCUUUUUAAUAUGAGAUUUGUAUGUGAGAUGAGGACUAAGCUUUGUUUCUCAUUCCCUUUCCGAUGUUCAGAUUAUUUACCCCAUUGGCAAGGCAAAGAAGGGGUAGGUAGGAACCUCAAUCAAGAUUCAUUAAAGGGGUGCCUGGGUGGCUCAGUCAGUUAAGCAGUCAACUCUUAAUUUCAGCUCAGGUCAUGAUCUCAUGGUUCAUGAGUUCUAACCCCACAUGGAGCUGUGAGUGCAGAGCCUGCUUUGGAUCCUCUGCCCCUCCCCCAUUCAUGCCCUCUCUCUCUCUCUUUCUCUCUUUCUUAAAAAUAAACACACAUUUUUAAAAAAGGAUUCAUUAAAGUCUUCUUUGUAGGCUUAGGAGGACACAAGAAUUAAAAAAAAAAGAGAAACCAAAAAGAAAAAUGAAGACAGGAAUGAGUUUUCCUUACUUUUUUCUUUUUUCAAGAUAAUCCAAUUUAACUUGUAUUUAAUAUUAUCACUAGGUUUUGCCCUUGAAUACUAAAGUUUUAGUUAUUAAUUUUUCACUCAAGAAUUUUUUAUAUGGUGAGUAUGGGCCCUUUGAGGGACAGCAGUUUAUAUUUUGACCUAAGUUUCCUCUCUUCCCCCCACCAACCUAUCUUAAGAAGCAAGGAAAAAAGUAGUGCCAGAAUGAUCAAACUAGAAGCCCCAUUUGAUGCAUGAUGGGCAUCGAGGAAGGCACUUGUUGGGAUGGGCACUGGGUGUUGUAUGUAAACGAUGAAACACGGGAAUCUACCCCCAAAACCAAAAGCACACUGUACACAAUGUAGGUUAGCCAAUUUGACAAUGAAUUAUAUUUAAAAAAAAAAAAAAGGAAGAAACCCCAUUUGCGACAAAACACGAGGCAGUAUUUGGUGGCACAUUUGAUCACAACAUUUUAUCUGAAGAUGAUUUCUGUUUUCAAGAAUCCCUGUUGUUUGCAGGGAAUGGAAUAAAUCUUUUUUGCUAAAAUGGCAGCAUAAAUGUUUUAAUUAAGCAAGACCCAGAAGGGGUGUGGAAUGUCUAAUUAGACCCCAUGGGUACCAAUGAUGUCCGCCGAUUGAGGGAUGGUUCCCCAGCCGUGAGAGAAAAGCUUUGCCGAGAGCAGUUGGCGCCUGCCAUUCCCCACGGUCGGUCGCCAUAGUGGUUUCUUUUUCUCCCUGAGAAUGUUUGCAAAUGGAGAAGUAUUUUACUGAGUCCAUAUCUCAUUACAAAAUCCAUCUCACCACAAGUUUCUAGUGAAAAUGAGAAAGGGAGAGAGAAGGAGAAAGAAAUGGAAUGAAUCUGCAGGCAGGGCUUGAAGGUUUGCACAGUGCCCGUCUCUCCACGGGUUUCUCAAAGCCCUCUCCGUCAUAUCCCCUGGGCACUUUAUUCCAGAUAGAUCAAGGAGCUAUGUCUCCAUGGGAACAGCAUAGAGAGAACAAAAUGGGGAAUAAAGUUCAUGUAUAUAGCGCAUAACUGUUGAUUUUUAUGUGCUGGCUUUAUUCAUUAUCUCAGAGCUGCAGUGAGUAUGGAGUGUUUCAUGGGUACCUGAGUUCCCAAAUCCUUUUUUUCCUAUCCCUUCCCACCCAUCCCUAAAAUGUCAAGCACAAACAGCUGGAGUUACUAGCUGUACAGUUUAUUUGCAUAACCCUCCCUGGGCUGUGUUUGGUGGAUGGAACACAGGCUUUGGAGCCAAGGUGGUAAGGGUUCAAAUCCUGGCUCUGGCACCAACCUCAGUUCCUUCAUCUAUAAAAUGGGACUGAUACUUCUGCCAGCUUCUGGGAGGAUUCAAAAUGGUGCAUAGAAAGUCCCUGAGCCUGGCACAGAAUAGGCCCUUAACAAAUGGUAACUACUAUUCAUAUUAUUAUUGACCUUCUGCUCCCUUAAAUGGUUCUUGUCACAUUCUGAUUAACAGAGAAAGAAAGUAGGAAUAAGGAGUGGAAGGAAAAAGUAUACUCUUCGGCAGAUUUCAAUGUUAUCAGCAGAGCUUGUAUCUAGAACUAGAAGAAAAUGUCUUAUAACUAAACAUCUGGAUUCUUCAUGCCUAAGAAGCAUAAGGAAAUGGUCCAGUUUUCAAGGCAUUGCUGCCUCAGUGUGUGUUUUAAAAACAUCAUGUCAUGUCGCUUGUGGUUUCUCUAUUUUACCGUUAUAUACAGGCUGUCAGACUGGCCAAUCUCAUCAGCCCUGCGAGCCAAAGACAGAGGAUACACACACACAUACAAAAGCCUCUGCCAGCAUAGCCUAUUUGUUUUGUCAUGGCAACCCUUGUCACUUCCAGCUGGAGAGUGAGUGAUGAUGUCAUUAUCAAGAGAGGACUGGGGAGCAGGCUGAGAACCCAGUCUGAGCUAUAGGAUUACAGAGAAUUAUAUUUCAGAUUAAAUGAUCAUGUUUUGGAGAGCAGCCAUCAGUACAAGGCACUUAGGCUUGACAUAAAUGAACACACACUGUCUUUGGCAAGGAAAGAAUGGAGUUUGAAAAUUUGACAUUAAGAGCAAAAUCUCUGUGUAUGUGAUUUUAAGAGAGAAUGCAUGAAGCUCCUUCAGUGUGCCAGCAUAUCUGUAUUAGUGUUGGGUGAAACUAUAAAUGACUCUCAUGGUCUGGUGGUUCUUUUAAGUCUCAGGGACCAAGUACAACAUGGUCUGGUCAGAGAUCUGCUGCUGGCUAGAGAUUGGGACGAACUGGGGGCUGCUGAGUAGACAGAUUACCCAUGAGAGGGGCCAAAAGCCAGGUCUCCAGCAGCCAAUGACAGAAUCUGUAUCCAGAGGCCCUCUGAAGACUAAAAGGGGGUGCCAGUAUUACAUGCCCCCAGUAGAGCAGGCAUAAAUGGGGACUGUUACAGGCAAACCAGGAUGCGUGGUCACUACAUGUAAAUCCUGGAUGCAUGAUUCCUUCAUAUGAAAGCGGCUCUGAUGUUUUCGCUCUAGAAGUACAGUCAUACAGCAAAACAAGGCUGAGAGGGGGAUUGGUCACCUACAUGCAGGUCAAGAGACUAGGGGGCCAGAUGUCACCUCAAAUAAACUAGCCCUGGCAGAGGCUUCACACACAUAUGACUGUAGCAAGGGAGAGGUGUUUCCCCAUUUGUCUGAGAGCAACCUGGGACACCACUAGACCAAACGAAUCAUAACCUCCAGAAUAGAGACUGUAAAUUUGUUUUCUUAAUGUUUAUUUUAUUUUCGAGAGAGAGAAGGGGAGAGCAAGCAGGGGAGGGGCAGAGAGAGAAUGAGACAGAGGAUCCGAAGCAGGCUCUGCACUAACAGGA